rnacentral:tRNA from 1 species
UCAAAGUGCAAAUUUGAAGAAGCGCCACAAAGGCGCCGGGGCUUCUCCCGUUU